GCCGAAGUGGCGGAAUUGGUAGACGCGCNNCGUCGGGGUUCAAAUCCCCGCUUCGGCACCA
rnacentral:tRNA from 1 species